rnacentral:lncRNA from 1 species
CAAUUAUUCAAUUGACUGGCUCUAAUGACCUUCUCUAUUCUAUGCCAAUGGUCAUAAAGACAUAAAUGAAGGCUUCUAGUAAGUUUUAUUUCUCACAUAAUUGAAUUUUCUUCAAGGGUCUUGUUCAACAACUGGUAACAAACUGUGAUGGAUCAUUGAAAGCAGAAGUUGCUCGUAUGGCGGCAUUUUAUGAACACAGGUUGCAACGUGGUAAUAAAGUCAUCUAUCACUUGGAAGCAUUUGUUGCUAAAUUCAUGAGUGUUUAUAAACGUUUCUUGGAGGAAGGGAUGGCUGAUUUCUUCUAAAACAUCAGAAACAUUUAUUCUUAACAUUUAUGGUAGACACACAGAUAAACUUCUAAUCCUGUUUAACGCGGAAUUGUUGGCUGUAAUUUACAAUUGACUCUAGACGUGCUUACGUCACGCAAUUUUCAAUCCAUCUAAACAAUCAAUCUCUUUCGUUCCAUGUUUCGCGCACCAAUAUAGUAAACGUUAUGUAAUGGAUAUUAUAGUGUAUUUCAAAGUCAACUGGAUACCUCCAUAUACACUUUAAACCUAAUCCUAACUUAUAUUGGUGCGCGAAACAUGGAACAAUAACCCAAAUAUUCAUGACAGUGACGUGAGGUAAGGACUUCUAAGGUCAAUUUGGUACAAGUAUCUAUAAACUAUCUUGGAAGAAGGAAUGAGACUGAUUAUCCUAAAACAUCAGAGACGUGUAUUAUAAAACUUGCAUUGUAAGUACCUUGCAAUACUCAAAAAAGUGGAAUAGAGGAAUUUGGGAAAUAUACAAAUUUGGUAAAUGGGAACUCAGGAAUGCAUGACCGAAGUUGAAUUGUGAAGGAAAACUGCUGUGAGUAACAAAACAAUUUUACCUUUCAGAUCUACCGAUUUUCAUCGGCGGUUCGACUGCUAAAUCCGAUAUCAUUAUUCUUGCUCUUGUCGUUAUAACAGACGGUCUUACAGAUCAGUUUCUCGUGGUGAAAAUGUCCGAGUGUUCAGUUAAGUCACGGUUUUGGUUUCCGCGAUGGCGCUUCUCGUCCCACUGCUCCAGUGCACACCGCAGUCCUCCAGGCCGCUCGGUCUGACGC